AAAAAAGGUAAGCUACUAAGAGCGAAUGGUGGAUGCCUUGACUGGUAAAGGCGAUGAAGGACGUACUAGACUGCGAUAAGCUACGGGGAGCUGUCAAGAAGCUUUGAUCCGUAGAUUUCCGAAUGGGGCAACCCAAUGUAUAGAGAUAUACAUUACCUAUAUAGGAGCGAACGAGGGGAAUUGAAACAUCUUAGUACCCUCAGGAAAAGAAAUCAAUAGAGAUUGCGUCAGUAGCGGCGAGCGAAAGCGCAAGAGGGCAAACCCAGUGCUUGCACUGGGGGUUGUAGGACUGCAAUGUGCAAGAGGUGAGUUUAGCAGAACAUUCUGGAAAGUAUAGCCAUAGAGGGUGAUAGUCCCGUAUGCGAAAAACAAACCUUAGCUAGCAGUAUCCUGAGUAGGGCGGGACACGAGAAAUCCUGUCUGAAGCUGGGUCGACCACGAUCCAACCCUAAAUACUAAUACCAGAUCGAUAGUGCACAAGUACCGUGAGGGAAAGGUGAAAAGAACUGAGGUGAUCAGAGUGAAAUAGAACCUGAAACCAUUUGCUUACAAUCAUUCAGAGCCCUAUGUAGCAAUACAGGGUGAUGGACUGCCUUUUGCAUAAUGAGCCUGCGAGUUGUGGUGUCUGGCAAGGUUAAGCAAACGCGAAGCCGUAGCGAAAGCGAGUCUGAAUAGGGCGCUUAGUCAGAUGCUGCAGACCCGAAACGAAGUGAUCUAUCCAUGAGCAAGUUGAAGCUAGUGUAAGAACUAGUGGAGGACUGAACCCAUAGGCGUUGAAAAGCCCCGGGAUGACUUGUGGAUAGGGGUGAAAGGCCAAUCAAACUUCGUGAUAGCUGGUUCUCUCCGAAAUAUAUUUAGGUAUAGCGUUGUGUCGUAAUAUAAGGGGGUAGAGCACUGAAUGGGCUAGGGCAUACACCAAUGUACCAAACCCUAUCAAACUCCGAAUACCUUAUAUGUAAUCACAGCAGUCAGGCGGCGAGUGAUAAAAUCCGUCGUCAAGAGGGAAACAACCCAGACUACCAGCUAAGGUCCCUAAAUCUUACUUAAGUGGAAAACGAUGUGAAGUUACUUAAACAACCAGGAGGUUGGCUUAGAAGCAGCCAUCCUUUAAAGAAAGCGUAAUAGCUCACUGGUCUAGUGAUUUUGCGCGGAAAAUAUAACGGGGCUAAAGUAAGUACCGAAGCUGUAGACUUGCGCACAACUUAGAUUAUUUAAGUUUAGAAUAUGAGAAACUAAGUUAUAUGUUUAGUUAUAUUUUUACUGAUUUUUAUAGAGUAAAGAUAGAAAUAAAACUUAGUAAAAUCAGUAAAAAUAUUCUUAGAUUAAAGUUAAGUAGUUUAAGUUGUGUGCAAGUGGUAGGAGAGCGUUCUAUUUGCGUCGAAGGUAUACCGGUAAGGAGUGCUGGAGCGAAUAGAAGUGAGCAUGCAGGCAUGAGUAGCGAUAAUUAAUGUGAGAAUCAUUAACGCCGUAAACCCAAGGUUUCCUACGCGAUGCUCGUCAUCGUAGGGUUAGUCGGGUCCUAAGUCGAGUCCGAAAGGGGUAGACGAUGGCAAAUUGGUUAAUAUUCCAAUACCAACAUUAGUGUGCGAUGGAAGGACGCUUAGGGCUAAGGGGGCUAGCGGAUGGAAGUGCUAGUCUAAGGUCGUAGGAGGUUAUACAGGCAAAUCCGUAUAACAAUACUCCGAGAACUGAAAGGCUUUUUGAAGUCUUCGGAUGGAUAGAAGAACCCCUGAUGCCAUCGAGCCAAGAAAAGUUUCUAAGUUUAGCUAAUGUUGCCCGUACCGUAAACCGACACAGGUGGGUGGGAUGAGUAUUCUAAGGCGCGUGGAAGAACUCUCUUUAAGGAACUCUGCAAAAUAGCACCGUAUCUUCGGUAUAAGGUGUGGUUAGCUUUGUAUUAGGAUUUACUCCGAAAGCAAGGAAACUUACAACAAAGAGUCCCUCCCGACUGUUUACCAAAAACACAGCACUCUGCUAACUCGUAAGAGGAUGUAUAGGGUGUGACGCCUGCCCGGUGCUCGAAGGUUAAUUGAUGGGGUUAGCAUUAGCGAAGCUCUUGAUCGAAGCCCGAGUAAACGGCGGCCGUAACUAUAACGGUCCUAAGGUAGCGAAAUUCCUUGUCGGUUAAAUACCGACCUGCAUGAAUGGCGUAACGAGAUGGGAGCUGUCUCAAAGAGGGAUCCAGUGAAAUUGUAGUGGAGGUGAAAAUUCCUCCUACCCGCGGCAAGACGGAAAGACCCCGUGGACCUU
rnacentral:rRNA from 1 species